AUCACUUCUCGGCCUUUUGGCUAAGAUCAAGUGCAGGAUCUUCUUAUCAGCUUAAUAUCUGAUACAUCCUCUAUCUUAGAACAAUAUAUUAAAUGGAUUUUUGGAGCAGGGAGAUGGAAUAGGAGCUUGCUCCGUCCACUCUAUGCAUCGACCUCAUAUUGCAGUACUUCCGGGAAUGGUGCACCAGCU